rnacentral:sRNA from 1 species
AUACCGGUAAGUAAGGCUACUACGAGGAUAUGGAUUACUGCCGCGAAAUAGUGGAGACACUAUUAGCAGGUCUGAACAGUUGAUGUCGAAUCAAGGCAUCAAAUAAUGUAAUUUCACCGCCUCGCAGAGUUAAAGCUCAAACGGGA